GGGUUGUGAGGUUAAGCGACUAAGCGUACACGGUGGAUGCCCUGGCAGUCAGAGGCGAUGAAGGACGUGCUAAUCUGCGAAAAGCGCCGGCGAGGUGAUAUGAACCUUUGACCCGGCGAUGUCCGAAUGGGGAAACCCAGUGCAAUUCGUUGCACUAUCGUUAACUGAAUACAUAGGUUAACGAGGCGAACCGGGGGAACUGAAACAUCUAAGUACCCCGAGGAAAAGAAAUCAACCGAGAUUCCCCCAGUAGCGGCGAGCGAACGGGGAGCAGCCCAGAGUCUGAAUCAGCUUGUGUGUUAGUGGAAGCGUCUGGAAAGUCGCACGGUACAGGGUGACAGUCCCGUACACGAAAGCACACUUGCUGUGAACUCGAAGAGUAGGGCGGGACACGUGGUAUCCUGUCUGAAUAUGGGGGGACCAUCCUCCAAGGCUAAAUACUCCUGACUGACCGAUAGUGAACCAGUACCGUGAGGGAAAGGCGAAAAGAACCCCGGCGAGGGGAGUGAAAAAGAACCUGAAACCGUGUACGUACAAGCAGUGGGAGCACCUUCGUGGUGUGACUGCGUACCUUUUGUAUAAUGGGUCAGCGACUUAUAUUCUGUAGCAAGGUUAACCGUAUAGGGGAGCCGAAGGGAAACCGAGUCUUAACUGGGCGUUAAGUUGCAGGGUAUAGACCCGAAACCCGGUGAUCUAGCCAUGGGCAGGUUGAAGGUUGGGUAACACUAACUGGAGGACCGAACCGACUAAUGUUGAAAAAUUAGCGGAUGACUUGUGGCUGGGGGUGAAAGGCCAAUCAAACCGGGAGAUAGCUGGUUCUCCCCGAAAGCUAUUUAGGUAGCGCCUCGUGAAUUCAUCUUCGGGGUAGAGCACUGUUUCGGCUAGGGGGCCAUCCCGGCUUACCAACCCGAUGCAAACUACGAAUACCGAAGAAUGUUAUCACGGGAGACACACGGCGGGUGCUAACGUCCGUCGUGAAGAGGGAAACAACCCAGACCGCCAGCUAAGGUCCCAAAGUCAUGGUUAAGUGGGAAACGAUGUGGGAAGGCACAGACAGCCAGGAUGUUGGCUUAGAAGCAGCCAUCAUUUAAAGAAAGCGUAAUAGCUCACUGGUCGAGUCGGCCUGCGCGGAAGAUGUAACGGGGCUAAACCAUGCACCGAAGCUGCGGCAGCGACACUAUGUGUUGUUGGGUAGGGGAGCGUUCUGUAAGCCGUUGAAGGUGUGCUGUGAGGCAUGCUGGAGGUAUCAGAAGUGCGAAUGCUGACAUAAGUAACGAUAAAGCGGGUGAAAAGCCCGCUCGCCGGAAGACCAAGGGUUCCUGUCCAACGUUAAUCGGGGCAGGGUGAGUCGACCCCUAAGGCGAGGCCGAAAGGCGUAGUCGAUGGGAAACAGGUUAAUAUUCCUGUACUUGGUGUUACUGCGAAGGGGGGACGGAGAAGGCUAUGUUAGCCGGGCGACGGUUGUCCCGGUUUAAGCAUGUAGGCGGAGGUUCCAGGUAAAUCCGGUACCUUUUAACGCUGAGGUGUGAUGACGAGGCACUACGGUGCUGAAGUAACAAAUGCCCUGCUUCCAGGAAAAGCCUCUAAGCAUCAGGUAACAUCAAAUCGUACCCCAAACCGACACAGGUGGUCAGGUAGAGAAUACCAAGGCGCUUGAGAGAACUCGGGUGAAGGAACUAGGCAAAAUGGUGCCGUAACUUCGGGAGAAGGCACGCUGAUAUGUAGGUGAAGCCCCUGCGGGUGGAGCUGAAAUCAGUCGAAGAUACCAGCUGGCUGCAACUGUUUAUUAAAAACACAGCACUGUGCAAACACGAAAGUGGACGUAUACGGUGUGACGCCUGCCCGGUGCCGGAAGGUUAAUUGAUGGGGUUAGCGGUAACGCGAAGCUCUUGAUCGAAGCCCCGGUAAACGGCGGCCGUAACUAUAACGGUCCUAAGGUAGCGAAAUUCCUUGUCGGGUAAGUUCCGACCUGCACGAAUGGCGUAAUGAUGGCCAGGCUGUCUCCACCCGAGACUCAGUGAAAUUGAACUCGCUGUGAAGAUGCAGUGUACCCGCGGCAAGACGGAAAGACCCCGUGAACCUUUACUAUAGCUUGACACUGAACACUGGUCCUUGAUGUGUAGGAUAGGUGGGAGGCUUUGAAGCGUGGACGCCAGUCUGCGUGGAGCCGUCCUUGAAAUACCACCCUUUAAUGGCUGGUGUUCUAACGUAGACCCGUGAUCCGGGUUGCGGACAGUGUCUGGUGGGUAGUUUGACUGGGGCGGUCUCCUCCCAAAGAGUAACGGAGGAGCACGAAGGUUAGCUAAUCCUGGUCGGACAUCAGGAGGUUAGUGCAAUGGCAUAAGCUAGCUUGACUGCGAGAGUGACGGCUCGAGCAGGUGCGAAAGCAGGUCAUAGUGAUCCGGUGGUUCUGAAUGGAAGGGCCAUCGCUCAACGGAUAAAAGGUACUCCGGGGAUAACAGGCUGAUACCGCCCAAGAGUUCAUAUCGACGGCGGUGUUUGGCACCUCGAUGUCGGCUCAUCACAUCCUGGGGCUGAAGUAGGUCCCAAGGGUAUGGCUGUUCGCCAUUUAAAGUGGUACGCGAGCUGGGUUUAGAACGUCGUGAGACAGUUCGGUCCCUAUCUGCCGUGGGCGCUGGAGAAUUGAGGGGGGCUGCUCCUAGUACGAGAGGACCGGAGUGGACGCAUCACUGGUGUUCGGGUUGUCAUGCCAAUGGCACUGCCCGGUAGCUAAAUGCGGAAAAGAUAAGUGCUGAAAGCAUCUAAGCACGAAACUUGCCCCGAGAUGAGUUCUCCCUGACUCCUUGAGAGUCCUGAAGGAACGUUGAAGACGACGACGUUGAUAGGUCGGGUGUGUAAGCGCAGCGAUGCGUUGAGCUAACCGAUACUAAUGAACCGUGAGGCUUAACCUUACAACGCCGAAGGUGUUU
rnacentral:rRNA from 2 species